UACGGAGGGAGCUAGCGUUGUUCGGAAUUACUGGGCGUAAAGCGCACGUAGGCGGCUAUUCAAGUCAGAGGUGAAAGCCCGGGGCUCAACCCCGGAAUUGCCUUUGAAACUAGGUAGCUAGAAUCUUGGAGAGGUCAGUGGAAUUCCGAGUGUAGAGGUGAAAUUCGUAGAUAUUCGGAAGAACACCAGUGGCGAAGGCGACUGACUGGACAAGUAUUGACGCUGAGGUGCGAAAGCGUGGGGAGCAAACAGG
rnacentral:rRNA from 1 species